ensembl:lncRNA
AGCAGGACGGGCGUCUGAUCGCAGAUCCAUCAAAUCCUCACAAAUUGAUUGAUCCUGUUAUUUCAGUCUCAUCUGAUCGUCUCGUCACGUCUGACUGUGUGAAUCUGAAUCAUGAAAUCAUCUGUCAUGAAUCAAGAGUGAGAAUGGAGCUCAUGUUCAGAGUGAGGAAUGAAACGUCAGGUGAGUUUCAGCUGAUAAACGUGUGUCUGAUUCAGAUCGGAUUCACACUCAACUCAGUUUGACUGUUUCUGUCUCUUAUAUUUGUGAUGACUGUGUUUUAAAGAUGAUCUGAAUGAAGUGACUCUGUCUCUCCUGCACUCAGGUGAACCAUCAAGAGCUUUAAACUGAAACUAUUGAUUCAUUACUCUUACGCAUCAGCUGAUUUGAUUUUUGAUCACUUGUAUAGAUGGGUUCUGGUGGCUGUUUGCUCUCUUCAUCAUCAUCUUCAUCAUCUUCUUCUGUUUCAUGCUUCGUAAAAGGAUCUUCAGAUGUUUUUCAAAGUCAGUGUCACCUGUCUGUCGGUGCAGUGAUUCAGAAAACAGGGAUCCUGAAUCUGGUGUCCCAGUAAAGAUCAGAUCUGACGCUCCUGAUUCACUGAAUCAAUCUCAGUCUGAUCAGUUCAGUGCUCCGUGUCCAGAGGAGGAAUCAACAUGAUUCUCAGGACAUUUUGUUUUUGACUAUAUAUAUAUAUUUUUUUUUUACUUUUUUUUUUUUUUUUUUUUUUU